UUUUGAUCCUGGCUCAGAUUGAACGCUGGGGAGGCCUAACACAUGCAAGUCGAGCGGAUGAGUGGAGCUUGCUCCAUGAUUCAGCGGCGGACGGGUGAGUAAUGCCUAGGAAUCUGCCUGGUAGUGGGGGACAACGUUUCGAAAGGAACGCUAAUACCGCAUACGUCCUACGGGAGAAAGUGGGGGAUCUUCGGACCUCACGCUAUCAGAUGAGCCUAGGUCGGAUUAGCUAGUUGGUGAGGUAAAGGCUCACCAAGGCGACGAUCCGUAACUGGUCUGAGAGGAUGAUCAGUCACACUGGAACUGAGACACGGUCCAGACUCCUAGGGGAGGCAGCAGUGGGGAAUAUUGGACAAUGGGCGAAAGCCUGAUCCAGCCAUGCCGCGUGUGUGAAGAAGGUCUUCGGAUUGUAAAGCACUUUAAGUUGGGAGGAAGGGCACGUAAGUUAAUACCUUGCUGUUUUGACGUUACCAACAGAAUAAGCACCGGCUAACUUCGUGCCAGCAGCCGCGGGUAUACGAAGGGUGCAAGCGUUAAUCGGAAUACUGGGCCGUAAAGCGCGCGUAAGGUGUUCGGUUAAGUGGAUGUGAAAAGCCCCGGGCUCAACCUUGGGAACUGCAUUCAAAACUGGCGAGCUAAGAGUAUGCCGAAGGGCGGUGAAUCCCGGGCAGCGCGGAGCUC
rnacentral:rRNA from 1 species